UGUGUAGACGGUAUGCUAAGUCAGUUGUUUAAUUCUCCGGCCUAACCGGAGGCCAGCAGCAGAAACUGGUAUGCUAGAGGGUGGAAGAGAGGAGUGGAAUUCUCGGAGUAGCGGUAAAAUGCGUAGAUCUCGAGAGGAACACCAAUGGCGAAGGCAGCUUCUUGGUCCAUACCUGACGUUGAGACACGAAAGCGUGGGAGCAAACA
rnacentral:rRNA from 1 species